UAUCUCCCUGCAGUUCUCGCCUGGCGUCCCACUGCAGCUAAGCAGGGUUGAGCCUGGCCAGUACCUGGAUGGGAGACCUCCUGGGGAAAGGUU
rnacentral:rRNA from 1 species